rnacentral:rRNA from 1 species
GAUGAACGCUGGCAGCGUGCCUAAUACAUGCAAGUCGAGCGAACAGAUGAGGAGCUUGCUCCUCUGACGUUAGCGGCGGACGGGUGAGUAACACGUGGAUAACCUACCUAUAAGACUGGGAUAACUUCGGGAAACCGGAGCUAAUACCGGAUAAUAUAUUGAACCGCAUGGUUCAAUAGUGAAAGACGGUUUUGCUGUCACUUAUAGAUGGAUCCGCGCCGCAUUAGCUAGUUGGUAAGGUAACGGCUUACCAAGGCGACGAUGCGUAGCCGACCUGAGAGGGUGAUCGGCCACACUGGAACUGAGACACGGUCCAGACUCCUACGGGAGGCAGCAGUAGGGAAUCUUCCGCAAUGGGCGAAAGCCUGACGGAGCAACGCCGCGUGAGUGAUGAAGGUCUUCGGAUCGUAAAACUCUGUUAUUAGGGAAGAACAAAUGUGUAAGUAACUAUGCACGUCUUGACGGUACCUAAUCAGAAAGCCACGGCUAACUACGUG